UAAAAAGAAUAAAUCAUAAAUAAUAAAGGAAUCACAUUCGUUGGAAGUGCAGGAAAACAAAUAAGUAAAACAAACAAACAAAAAAGCAUUGCAUCAACUGAUCUUUGUACAAGACUGAGGAAGCAAGGAAAGAACAAAGGAGGAGCCAGGACAACAACAAGAGUAGGAGAAAAACAAUAUUCCUAUUUGCUAUGUUUUCUACUCUUCGUCUGCAGAAAGGCACAACUGCAAGAAAAUCUCCAUUUGACUCUGCAGCCUUACCUUAAAGGUGUUUGGUAUAGAAUUUGGCAACUUGUCUUACAAAGAAAAAACACCCCUGGUGAGUCUAUAGAAACAGAGUUCGUAACAGUCAAACACCAGUAUCCCCAAAAGAAGUAAGAACUAAAAAUCUUAAGAGUCUAGUUUACAUCAAAUUUAGCUGCUGAGUCUGAGGUCACUGCUUACUUUUCCAGCAAGGAGCAUCACAAGAUGCUGUCGUAGUGGCCAGCUCCUACAGACACCAGGUGAAGGUGAGAACUCUUAACUCGAGACUGGAGUGAAAAAAAAAGCACAACAGCAGCUAUCUAUAAAUAAAAUAGAGAAAGGAUUUGGAACUUGCUGACUU
rnacentral:lncRNA from 1 species